rnacentral:rRNA from 1 species
AUGCAUCUGGUUCAUCGUGAUCGUAAUUAUAAAUAUAAUUUUUGGCCUCGCGAAGGAGAAAGUAUCGCUCAAGCUUGGGGGAGGCUUAAUUCAAUGUUAUAUUCAUGCCCCAAUCAUGAGCUCUCAAGAGAAAUUAUUAUUCAAAAUUUUUAUGCUCGGCUUUCUCUCAAUAAUCGCUCCAUGCUCGAUACUUCUUGUACUGGUUCUUUUAUGAUGAAGACUAUUGAAUUCAGAUGGGAUUUAUUGGAAAGAAUUAAACGCAACUCUGAACAUUGGGAACUCGAUGAAGGUAAGGAGUCAGGUAUAACACCUAAGUUUGAUUGUGUUAAAUCUUUUAUGGAUACCGAUGCUUUUCGUGAAUUUAGCACUAAAUAUUGA